rnacentral:rRNA from 1 species
AAUGAACGUUGGCGGCGUGGAUUAGGCAUGCAAGCCGAGCGAGAACCGUAGCAAUACGGGGACAGCGGCGAAAGGGAGAGGAAUACGUGGAUACCUACCCUCAGGUUAAGGAUAGCUGUGGGAAACUACAGGUAAUACUGAAAAAUAUCUCCGGAUCAAAGGUGUGAUUCCGCCGGAGGAGGGGUCCACGUCCUAUUAGCUAGUUGGUGAGGUAACGGCUCACCAAGGCGAAGAUGGGUACGGGGUGUGAGAGCAUGCCCCCGCCUCACUGGGACUGAGACACUGCCCAGACACCUACGGGUGGCUGCAGUCGAGAAUCUUCGGCAAUGGGCGCAAGCCUGACCGAGCGACGCCGCGUGCGAGAUGAAGGCCUUCGGGUUGUAAAUCGCUGUCAGAGGGGAGGAAAUGCCGGUGGGUUCUCCCAUCGGUUUGACCUAUCCUCAGAGGAAGGACGGGCUAAGUUCGUGCCAGCAGCCGCCGUAAAAC